rnacentral:lncRNA from 1 species
CAAAUAUUGGCGUCUUGAUGGCUCUAGGACGGGCUCUUGUUGACGUUCGAGAUUCGCACUACUGCCGCCCGAGCGGCGGCCGUGCGGGUGACGGCGCAGACGCAAGAAAUGGUCAGCUUGACCGUUCCGUUGACGAGCUCCGUACCGCAACGAUAGGCCACCCGAAAGGUCCUCCUCACCUCCUGACAACGGUAAUCGCCGUUGGAAUGGCACAGGUUGCCCGGGCAGUUGCACCUCACGACGGGCAGCUUGGCCGGCACUCUCCUCGUGUCAACGUCGACGGUCGUCGUGAACCUACAAGUCGCUCGCUCGCCGAUGCUCUUGCCUCCCGGCUGUGGCGAACACUUGUCGUUGGGGAACAGUGCCCUCCCGAAUACUGAAGGCGCUAGACGGUCCUCCAACGCAGCUGCGUGCAGGAGAACGCAGCUGGUGACGAUGGCACAUGCAUAAUACAUCUUGAUGCGGCGGAUGAUGGAUACUUUCACACUCCGGCAAAGGCACCUGUAAACCCAGGGGCGCAAUCCCGUACGCUUUCUGUGUAGGAACAGAACGCCACGUCACGAGAAAGCGAGAGGG